rnacentral:pre_miRNA from 1 species
UUACCAGGAAUCUUGUAAAAAUGUGAAUAUGGGGUAGGGCCUGAGAUUCUGCAUUUCUAACAAGUUCCAAGUGAUGCU